rnacentral:rRNA from 1 species
GAUGAACGCUGGCGGCGUGCCUAAUACAUGCAAGUCGAGCGAACAGACGAGGAGCUUGCUCCUCUGACGUUAGCGGCGGACGGGUGAGUAACACGUGGAUAACCUACCUAUAAGACUGGGAUAACUUCGGGAAACCGGAGCUAAUACCGGAUAAUAUAUUGAACCGCAUGGUUCAAUAGUGAAAGACGGUUUUGCUGUCACUUAUAGAUGGAUCCGCGCCGCAUUAGCUAGUUGGUAAGGUAACGGCUUACCAAGGCAACGAUGCGUAGCUGACCUGAGAGGAGGAGCCGCCACAAUGGGACUUAGACACGGUCCAGACUCCUACGGGAGGCAGCAGGGGGGAAUAUUGGACAAUGGGCGCGAGCCUGAUCCAGCCAUACCGCGUGAGUGAAGAAGGCCUUCGGGUUGUAAAGCCCUUUUGGUGGGAAAGAAAAGCAGCCCGCUAAUACCCCGCUGUCCUGGCGGUACCUAAAGAAUAAGCAACGGCUAACUUCGUG